CCCUGGCUCCGGCUGGAUAACAUCUCUGAGCCUCCUGCAGGAGGAGGAGCUGACCUCUCCCGGCCCUGAGCGCUCCGCUCCGCAGAAAAGUGCUCGUGGAGUCUUUUGUGUGGCCUCCAUCCACAGUGCCACCUAGUGGCUCACGAUGCAUCCUGCACCUCCUCCUCCAGGAUCAAAUUCUUGGUGGAGCAGCAGGUCAAGGUGGCGCUGAGCCCUGGUAACAGUUGAGCGUCCCCUUCCUGUGAGCGUUCUGGCCAUCAACUGCCACCCCAGCCUACCCUCCUCAUGUAAGGUGUGGGCAGUGGCUCAGUGCUGACACGGCUGGAAAGUGUCCCAGGGCUCCUCCCGACCCCUUGCAGCUCCUGCAUCUGCAGAAGUGGGGCUCCAUGCCUGUGCUGAGUGGAGCCAAACCUUAACCUCCAUUUCAAAAGCCUCCUGUGCUUAGCCCAUCUUGCCCGCAGCAGGACAGCCACCUUCUCUACCAGGACCCCGGCUUGACUUUUUUGCCUUCUCUGCACUCAGCUCAGCUGAUGACCAAGUCAGCAGGUGGACACAGAUAACAAGCAAAGAACUACGUCUAUAAAUACAUCUCGAUGAGUGGGAACAAACCGCCUCCAAAAAGCCUGCAACCCGUUCAAGAGAAGCACCUGCCGAGAGCAUCCCGGGAGGUUCCUGACCUGGGCCCAGAAACAUCCUUCUAAAAAUUCAGCCGUGGCCUGCUUUCCCGUACACCCGACUCUCGGCACGUCUGACUUGUUUGUAACUCAUCAAUCAUAUUCUCAGCCAGUGACCCUCAGCCUGUGAAAAAUCUGCCCUCACUUGCCCAAACCUCACCUUUUUGGGCCAAGCCGCUCUGCAUUCAAUGUGUGUGUGUGUGUGUGUGUGUGUGUGUGUUUUUCCUCCAAAGAUUCAGUUGUUUUACUUGAAAGUCAGAGCCACAGAGAGAGGGAGAAGCAGAGAGAGAUCUUCCAUCUGCUGGUUCACUCACCAGAUGGCUGAGCCAGGUCAAAGCCAGGAGCCAGGAGCUUCUUCAGUCUCCCAUGUAGGUGGCUAAGCACUGGGCCAUCUUCCGCUGCUCUCAGGCGCAUUAGCAGGGAGCUGGAUCGGAAGUGGAGCAGUGGGGACUUGGGAUGCCAGUGCUGCAGGCAGCGGCUUAACUCACUGUGCACAGCACUGGCCCUGAGCGGGAUUAGCUCUAACACGAACACUCGUGGCUCUAUGGCUGGCAGAAGUGUAAUUUCCUCUCCCUCACCCUGCUCUUCUCUGCCCUCUGUCCUUCCUCCAGCUUCUGACCUGGAUGGAAUUGUGUUUCCCAGCAGGUACGUUGAAGAGAGACUGAAAAUGGGCAGUUCUGGCCAUGAUGUCCCGACUCAGUCUGGAAGCCCCCCCUUCCCUCACCAACGGACUGGGUUCACUUCACAGUGGCAGGGGGAAGGUGCUGAGAGAGGUGACUCAGCCGGGUGGGGAGGUGUGGAAUCUUAUAGAAGGCUCCACCCUGCAGCUCCCUGCCUAGGGCUCUCUGCUGGGCGUGGAGAAAGGCGUGCAGGCCUCACGGGUGUGGUAUGUCCCGCCUUUGCAGCUGGCUGAACCAAGCUGGGGGUGAGGUAGGAGGGCGGGCAUGGUCGUCUCGGAGCAGGUGACAGAUUCAUGCCAGACCAGAGCUAGGCCUCAGGAGGCCAAGGAGAAGGAGCUAAUGGAAGGAAGGGGCUCUGGGUGAGAGACAGGAGGCUUGGAGGGGUGACCCUGGCUGAGUCGCUGUGUGAUCAGGCCACAUCCCAGCUUAAGGGUCGAUGGUGGUUCCCCACUGCCGCGGAUAAAGUCGCCGCCGUGACUUGACUUGGAGAUAACCUGCAAGUCCCCAGGGCCAGCAACCCCACCCCCCUGCCCCGUGCUUCCCGCAAGGCGGCCUCACCAGAGGUCUCUGGAAUAAGCCAGACCUCCUCUCUCUUGUAUGUCUUUUCCCUCCGGUCUCAUUCAUUCUGUACACACUCACUGUGAUACAUACAUAACACAUUUUCCCUUGGAGUCAUUUUAGAUGUACACAAAGUUGCAAAGAGAGUUCCUGUGUACCCCUUGAAUUUCCCCUGACAUUAACAUCUGAGCUGACCAUUUUGUAUUUCUCGAAGCUAAGACAUCAGCAUUCAAAUAUCGUUAGCUGGGGCUGGUGUUGUUGCGUAGUGAGUGAAGCCACUGCCUACAAUGCCAAUAUCCCAGAUGGGCACUGUUUUUUGUGUCUUGGCUGCUCCACUUCUUAUCCAGCUCCCUGCUAUGGCCUGGGAAAGCAGCAGAAGAUGCCUAAGUGCUUGGGCCCCUGCACCCACAUGGGAGACCUGGAAAAAUGGCCUUGGCUCCUGGCUUCAGCUUGGC